GACGAACGCUGGCGGUGUGCUUAACACAUGCAAGUCGAACGGUAAGGCCCUUUCGGGGGUACACGAGUGGCGAACGGGUGAGUAACACGUGAGUAACCUGCCCUCAUCUCUGGGAUAACAGUCGGAAACGGUUGCUAAUACUGGAUAUGAGCUUGCAAGGCAUCUUGUGGGUUGGAAAGAUUUUUUUUGGUUGGGGAUGGACUCGCGGCCUAUCAGCUUGUUGGUGAGGUAGUGGCUCACCAAGGCUUCGACGGGUAGCCGGCCUGAGAGGGCGACCGGCACAAUUGGAACUGGGAUACGGCCCAAACUCCUACGGGGGGAGGAGGGGGGGAAUAUUGAACAAGGAAGGAAGUCUGAUGCAGCAACGCCGCGUGCGGGAUGACGGCCUUCGGGUUGUAAACCGCUUUCAAUUGUGACGAAGCUUUUUUGUGACGGUAGCAGUAGAAGAAGCACCGGCUAACUACGUG
rnacentral:rRNA from 1 species